CGUUGAAACACCGAUUCCCGUAUGAUCAGUGAAGUUAAGCAGCGUCGAACUUGAUCAGUACCCAGAUGGGUGACCGCUUGGUAAUACCAGGU